rnacentral:lncRNA from 1 species
GCCUGACCACUUCUCUAAGGUUAAGAGGUCCAAAUUGUGCCCAUUUGUAUAGAUACUGUAAAUAGACUGUGUAUUCUGAGAAGAGCAGAUGAUAGAGAAGAGAAUAGAGAAGAUGAUAGAGAAGAUGAUAGAGAAGAGAAUAGAGAAGAGGAUAGAGAAGAUGAUAGAGAAGAGGAUAGAGAAGAUGAUAGAGAAGAGGAUAGAGAAGAGGAUAGAGAAGAGGAUAGAGAAGAGGAUAGAGAAGAUGAUAGAGAAGAGAAUAGAGAAGAUGAUAGAGAAGAUGAUAGAGAAGAUGAUAGAGAAGAGAAUAGAGAAGAUGAUAGAGAAGAUGAUAGAGAAGGGAAUAGAGAAGAUGAUAGAGAAGAGAAUAGAGAAGAGGAUAGAGAAGAUGAUAGAGAAGAGAAUAGAGAAGAUGAUAGAGAAGAGAAUAGAGAAGAUGAUAGAGAAGAUGAUAGAGAAGGGAAUAGAGAAGAUAAUAGAGAAGAUGAUAGAGAAGAGGAUAGAGAAGAUGAUAGAGAAGAGAAUAGAGAAGAUAAUAGAGAAGAGAAUAGAGAAGAUGAUAGAGAAGAUGAUAGAGAAGGGAAUAGAGAAGAUGAUAGAGAAGAUGAUAGAGAAGAUGAUAGAGAAGGGAAUAGAGAAGAUGAUAGAGAAGAGAAUAGAGAAGAUGAUAGAGAAGAUGAUAGAGAAGGGAAUAGAGAAGAGAAUAGAGCAGGGGGAUAGAGAAGAGGAUAGAGCAGGGGAUAGAGAAGAGGAUAGAGUAGGGGAUAGAGAAGAGGAUAGAGCAGGGGAUAGAGAAGAGGAUAGAGCAGGGGAUAGAGAAGAGAAUAGAGCAGGGGAUAGAGAAGAGGAUAGAGCAGGGGGAUAGAGAAGAGGAUAGAGCAGGGGGAUAGAGAAGAGGAUAGAGCAGGGGGAUAGAGAAGAGGAUAGAGCAGGGGAUAGAGAAGAGGAUAGAGCAGGGGAUAGAGAAGAGGAUAGAGCAGGGGGAUAGAGAAGAGGAUAGAGCAGGGGGAUAGAGAAGAGGAUAGAGCAGGGGGAUAGAGAAGAGGAUAGAGCAGGGGGAUAGAGAAGAGGAUAGAGCAGAGGAUAGAGAAGAGGAUAGAGCAGGGGGAUAGAGAAGAGGAUAGAGUAGGGGAUAGAGAAGAGGAUAGAGCAAGGGGAUAGAGAAGAGGAUAGAGCAGGGGAUAGAGAAGAGGAUAGAGCAGGGGGAUAGAGAAGAGGAUAGAGCAGGGGGAUAGAGAAGAGGAUAGAGCAGGGGAUAGAGAAAAGGAUAGAGCAGGGGAUAGAGAAGAGGAUAGAGCAGGGGAUAGAGAAUAGGAUAGAGUAGGGGAUAGAGAAGAGGAUAGAGCAGGGGGAUAGAGAAUAGGAUAGAGCAGGGGAUAGAGAAGAGGAUAGAGCAGGGGAUAGAGAAGAGGAUAGAGCAGGGGGAUAGAGAAGAGGAUAGAGCAGGGGGAUAGAGAAGAGGAUAGAGCAGGGGAUAGAGAAGAGGAUAGAGCAGGGGGAUAGAGAAGUGGAUGGAGCAGGGGAUAGAGAAGAGGAUAGAGCAGGGGGAUAGAGAAGAGGAUAGAGCAGGGGGAAAGAGAAGAGGAUAGAGCAGGGGAUAGAGAAGAGGAUAUAACAGGGGGAUAGAGAAGAGGAUAGAGCAGGGGGAUAGAGCAGGGGGAUAGAGAAGAGGAUAGAGCAGGGGAUAGAGAAGAGGAUAGAGCAGGGGGAUAGAGAAGAGGAUAGAGCAGGGGGAUAGAGAAGAGGAUACAGUAGGGGAUAGAGAAGAGGAUAGAGCAGGGGAUAGAGAAGAGGAUAGAGCAGGGGGAUAGAGAAUAGGAUAGAGCAGGGGAUAGAGAAGAGGAUAGAGUAGGGGAUAGAGAAGAGGAUAGAGCAGGGGGAUAGAGAAGAGGAUAGAGCAGGGGGAUAGAGAAGAGGAUAGAGCAGGGGGAUAGAGAAGAGGAUAGAGUAGGGGAUAGAGAAGAGGAUAGAGCAGGGGAUAGAGAAGAGGAUAGAGCAGGGGAUAGAGAAGAGGAUAGAGCAGGGGGAUAGAGAAGAGGAUAGAGUAGGGGAUAGAGAAGAGGAUAGAGCAGGGGGAUAGAGAAGAGGAUAGAGCAGGGGGAUAGAGAAGUGGAUAGAGCAGGGGGAUAGAGAAGAGGAUAGAGUAGGGGAUAGAGAAGAGGAUAGAGCAGGGGAUAGAGAAGAGGAUAGAGCAGGGGGAUAGAGAAGAGGAUAGAGUAGGGGAUAGAGAAGAGGAUAGAGCAGGGGAUAGAGAAGAGGAUAGAGCAGGGGGAUAGAGAGAGGAUAGAGCAGGGGAUAGAGAAGAGGAUAGAGCAGGG